AGGCAAUUGCAUUAGAUUGUGACACAUUUUGACAAUAAAAACACUAAUAAAACUGUUUACUGCUUGUAAGCAAUUUUUUGUUGGUUUUAGCCUCUUCUGAGAGAAAAUGGGUAUAAGUAUUGUUUAAACACUCUUAGUCUAUCUCUAACUCUUAUAAUUAGUCAAAUGCAUUAGAUUGUGACA
rnacentral:sRNA from 1 species